AAGUUGUAACAAGGUUUCCGUAGGUGAACCUGCGGAAGGAUCAUUAACAAAUCCGAUAAUGUGGAAGAGGGGAGACCCGAUUUUACAAUAUUAAACCGCCGGGCGGUCUCUGAGACUGGCUGGCUGGUAUAUCUAUGCGUGUAAUGUUGACAGUGUGUGAGUGAUUUAAUUAUUGACAACUUUUAACAAUGGAUCUCUAGGCUCUUGCAGCGAUGAAGAACGCAGCAAAGUGCGAAAAGUGUUGCGAUUUGCACGAAUCUGUGAGUCAUCUAAUUUUUGAACGCGAAUGGCACUGUUACGCAAGUAGCAGUAUGUCUGUUUGAGAAUCGCAAAACAAGAUCAACUCUAGUUGAGAGUUGGGAUUGGCCUCAUGUACCUUUGGGUGUAUUUAGCUUGAAUGCAUCGAGUUGAUGAGCUCCCCAAUGCGGCUCAAUGUGUGCUAGCGAGACAGUCGUCCCGAUCUCACAUUUCCGCCGCGUUGCAGAGUUCUACGCACAACCCGCCAACAUAUAUUUAUCAACAAAUACGAUCUCAAAUCAGGCAAGAUUACCCGCUGAACUUAAGCAUAUCAAUAAGCGGAGGAAAAGAAACUAACAAGGAUUCCCUCAGUAACGGCGAGUGAAGCGGGAAGAGCUCAAAUUUAAAAUCUGGCGUAAAAGCCCGAAUUGUAGUCUAAAGAGGCGUUAUCGGACACGAGUCUGCCGUACAAGUUCCCUGGAAUAGGACAUCACAGAGGGUGAGAAUCCCGUCUGGACGGUAGGCGAGUGGCCAUAUGAGACGUUCUCAAAGAGUCGAGUUGUUUGGGAUUGCAGCUCAAAAUGGGAGGUAAAUUUCUUCUAAGGCUAAAUAACGGCAAGAGACCGAUAGCAAACAAGUACCGUGAGGGAAAGAUGAAAAGCACCUUGAAAAGGGAGUUAAAAGCGCGUGAAAUUGUUAAAAGGGAAACGAUUGAAGCCAGUAGGACUAUGGAGAGUUCAACGGUACCCGCUGAGCAUUGCCGCGAUGAGAGUGUCUAAGGCACCUCUAGUGGUGUGCGCAGGUGGACUGCCGUGCAUUCUUUCCAUGGUUAGUCAGUGUCAAUUUGGGUUAUCGGAAAAGGACUUGGGGAAGGUGGCCAAUGCUUCGGUGUCGGCUUUAUAGACCCUCGUAGAUACGAUGACCUGGAUUGGAAUCGACAACAGCUAACAGGGACGCAAUAUCUACGGUUGUGGACGUCUGAGAAUCAGUCGAGUCUUGGACGGCAUCUAACCGGGAGAGGGUGUCUUGGAUGCUGCGGUGAGUACUGACGAAAUGGCUUUAAACGACC
rnacentral:rRNA from 1 species